rnacentral:rRNA from 1 species
UACAGAGGUCUCAAGCGUUGUUCGGAUUCAUUGGGCGUAAAGGGUGUGUAGGUGGCGCGCUAAGUCGGGUGUGAAAUCUCGGGGCUUAACUCCGAAACUGCAUUCGAUACUACCGUGCUUGAGGACUGGAGAGGAGACUGGAAUUUACGGUGUAGCGGUGAAAUGCGUAGAUAUCGUAAGGAAGACCAGUGGCGAAGGCGGGUCUCUGGACAGUUCCUGACGCUGAGGCACGAAGGUCAGGGGAGCAAACGGG